rnacentral:sRNA from 1 species
UGGACUUCAACAAUGCCAAGGGCAGAG